UACGUAGGGUGCAAGCGUUGUUCGGAAUCAUUGGGCGUAAAGCGCGUGUAGGCGGCCUACUAAGUCUGAUGUGAAAGCCCGGGGCUCAACCCCGGAAGUGCAUUGGAUACUGGUUGGCUAGAGGGCGAGAGAGGGAAGUGGAAUUCCUGGUGUAGGGGUGAAAUCCGUAGAUAUCAGGAGGAACAUCGGUGGCGAAGGCGGCUUCCUGGCUCGUUUCUGACGCUCAGACGCGAGAGCGUGGGUAGCAAACAGG
rnacentral:rRNA from 1 species